AUUCACGCUGGCGGCGUGCCUCACCCAUGCCAGUCGAGCGGCAGCGAGUUUUACACUGACUUCUGGAAGCUUCUAGUUGAAAGAGAAGAUUUAUUCAAGAAUUUUGUGUAAAAUGUCGGCGAGCGGCGGACGGCUGAGUAACGCGUGGGAACGUACCCCAAAGUGAGGGAUAACGCAUCGAAAGGUGUGCUAAUACCGCAUAUGGUCUUCGGAUUAAAGCCUUCGGGCGCUUUGGGAACGGCCUGCGUAAGAUUAGAUAGUUGGUGGGGUAAUGGCCUACCAAGUCGACGAUCUUUAACUGGUUUGAGAGGAUGAUCAGUCAGACUGGAACUGAGACACGGUCCAGACUCCUACGGGGGGCAGCAGUGAGGAAUCUUCCACAAUGGGCGAAAGCCUGAUGGAGCAACGCCGCGUGCAGGAUGAAGGCCUUCGGGUUGUAAACUGCUUUUAUAAGUGAGGAUUAUGACAGUAACUUAUGAAUAAGGAGCGGCUAACUACGUG
rnacentral:rRNA from 1 species